rnacentral:rRNA from 1 species
UACGUAGGGUGCAAGCGUUGUCCGGAAUUAUUGGGCGUAAAGAGCUCGUAGGCGGUUUGUCGCGUCUGCUGUGAAAACUCGGGGCUUAACCCCGGGCCUGCAGUGGGUACGGGCAGACUAGAGUGCGGUAGGGGAGACUGGAAUUCCUGGUGUAGCGGUGAAACGCGCAGAUAUCAGGAGGAACACCGGUGGCGAAGGCGGGUCUCUGGGCCGUAACUGACGCUGAGGAGCGAAAGCGUGGGGAGCGAACAGG